GUGGGGAAUAUUGGACAAUGGGGGGAACCCUGAUCCAGCCAUGCCGCGUGUGUGAAGAAGGCCUUUUGGUUGUAAAGCACUUUAAGCGAGGAGGAGGCUACCGAGAUUAAUACUCUUGGAUAGUGGACGUUACUCGCAGAAUAAGCACCGGCUAACUCUGUGCCAGCAGCCGCGGUAAUACAGCGGGUGCAAGCGUUAAUCGGAUUUACUGGGCGUAAAGCGCGCGUAGGUGGCCAAUUAAGUCAAAUGUGAAAUCCCCGAGCUUAACUUGGGAAUUGCAUUCGAUACUGGUUGGCUAGAGUAUGGGAGAGGAUGGUAGAAUUCCAGGUGUAGCGGUGAAAUGCGUAGAGAUCUGGAGGAAUACCGAUGGCGAAGGCAGCCAUCUGGCCUAAUACUGACACUGAGGUGCGAAAGCAUGGGGAGCAAACAGGAUUAGAAACCCUGGUAGUCC
rnacentral:rRNA from 1 species